UGGAUUGUUUGGCUGAUAAGUUAAUAGUGCUCGACAACUGUUUUGAGUUUUGCUUUCUCUAAUACUCAUGGAUUGACGUGGAGGUUAGAGCCAUGCACUGGUAUAGUACUUUAUCAUAAUGAUUUGAUUUAGCAUAGAGUUUAAGAAAGUAGCCAGGCCAGGACUUUUGAAUCUUGUCGUCUUAAACUAAACAAGAUUGUUCUAGUUCAUGAAUUC
rnacentral:lncRNA from 1 species